GCAUGGCACACACAUAUAGUCCCAGCUACUCUGGAUCCUGAGGCAGGAGGAUCACUUGAGUCCAGGAGUUCUGGGCUAUAGUGCACUAUGAUGAUCAGGUGUCCACACUAAGUUUGGUAACAAUAUCGUGUCCCCCUGGGAGCAUGAGACCACCAGGUUGCCUAAGGAGGGGGGAACCAGCCCAGUUCAGAAGCAGAAAAGGUCAAAACUCCCGUGGUGAUCAUUAAUGGGAUUAAGCCUGUGAAUAGCCGCUGCACUCCAGCCUGGGCAACACAGCUGAGACCCUGCCUCUA
rfam:Nomascus leucogenys chromosome 4, whole genome shotgun sequence.